AGCUCAGCUGGUUAGAGCUCUCGGCUCAUAACCGAGUGGUCGUAGGUUCAAGUCCUACA
rnacentral:tRNA from 1 species